AAGCAGGAAGUUGGCACACAUAAUCCUUAAGGUAGGAGGGGGGAUUAUGAAUUCUGGAAGAUUUCCGAAGAGCUGGAACAGAAAUAGGAUCCAAAAUAGGAGGACUGGGUGGAGGAGAAGAAGCUGGAUGGACAGGUGAAUCAGAAACAGAAGGAGAGGAAGGAAUAGGAGAAUUAGAACCAUUAAGAUUAUCAUCAUGUUCUCCAGAAUGGAUAAAGG
rnacentral:lncRNA from 1 species